CCUACGGGAGGCAGCAGUGAGGAAUAUUGGUCAAUGGACGAGAGUCUGAACCAGCCAAGUAGCGUGAAGGAUGACUGCCCUAUGGGUUGUAAACUUCUUUUAUAUGGGAAUAAAAUGUUCCACGUGUGGGAUUUUGUAUGUACCAUAUGAAUAAGGAUCGGCUAACUCCGUGCCAGCAGCCGCGGUAAUACGGAGGAUCCGAGCGUUAUCCGGAUUUAUUGGGUUUAAAGGGAGCGUAGGUGGAUUGUUAAGUCAAUUGUGAAAGUUUGCGGGUCAACCGUAAAAUUGCAGUUGAAACUGGCAGUCUUGAGUACAGUAGAGGUGGGCGGAAUUCGUGGUGUAGCGGUGAAAUGCUUAGAUAUCACGAAGAACUCCGAUUGCGAAGGCAGUUCACUGGACUGCAACUGACACUGAGGCUCGAAAGUGUGGGUAUCAAACAGGAUUAGAUACCCUAGUAGUC
rnacentral:rRNA from 1 species